AGUGAACGCUGGCGGUAGGCCUAACACAUGCAAGUCGAACGGCAGCACGGUAAGAGCUUGCUCUUACGGGUGGCGAGUGGCGGACGGGUGAGGAAUACAUCGGAAUCUACUUUUUCGUGGGGGAUAACGUAGGGAAACUUACGCUAAUACCGCAUACGACCUACGGGUGGAAGCAGGGGAUCUUCGGACCUUGCGCGAUUGAAUGAGCCGAUGUCGGAUUAGCUAGUUGGCGGGGUAAAGGCCCACCAAGGCGACGAUCCGUAGCUGGUCUGAGAGGAUGAUCAGCCACACUGGAACUGAGACACGGUCCAGACUCCUACGGGAGGCAGCAGUGGGGAAUAUUGGACAAAGGGCGCAAGCCUGAUCCAGCCAUACCGCGUGGGUGAAGAAGGCCUUCGGGUUGUAAAGCCCUUUUGUUGGGAAAGAAAAGCAGCAGGUUAAUACCCCGCUGUUCUGACGGUACCCAAAGAAUAAGCACCGGCUAACUUCGUG
rnacentral:rRNA from 1 species